UCUAAACUGUUGGGUCGCCGUCGUC
rnacentral:piRNA from 1 species